UUUUUGCGUUCGGCGGUUCUGCUGACCACCGUUGUUCCAGCCCCUCAUCUGUCUGCCAGUCUCCAUCGUUCCAGUCUUGGCCCGCCAUCUCCCAGCCGAGCCGAGAGCCGUGGGGAAAACUUCAAAAUUGCAGUCAACGGUCGGCAGAAUGAAUGGGAAAAGACCGGGAGUAGAGUGAAUCAUAACAUCCUGUUUCUAGAAAGCCUCACCUGACCUCAGAGCCAAUGGUAAGGCUUGAAUGAAUAACACUGAGUGUGUGUGUGGAGACCAAGGCCUAAAAAAUGCCCGCUUGAAAAUUAAGAGAAGAGUAAGACAUCCUUCAAAUUGAACUUAAAAAACAUUUUAAAUCAAGCGUGACACUCCAGUAUAAUGAAAUUAAUUAAAUAAUAAUGAAAAUUCGUAAUAAUGCAAAUAGAGGCACUUAAUUAAAACCAAAAUACAUCUCUAAAUGAGUGUAAAAAUCCCAUAAAAACUCAUAUUACAUUUCUGUUUAUUUUCU